CUCGUGACUCCAGCCAGAGCCUACUGUGUUUUCAUCGGAGAGCUCUGUGCCCACUGAGGGAGAGAGAAGAGGAGCCUGGAGACACUGUCACCUGGGAACAACGACCCUCAUUAGGUGCUAUAAGGUGUCCUGGAGCAUUGUCUUCUCCAGGUUGAACUCCAGCUCUCUCAACCUGUCCUUAAAGGAGAGGUGAUCCAGCCUUAUGAUCAUCUUAAGUGACCCUUCUCUGGAAUUGCUUCAGCAGAUCCAUGUCCUUCUUAUGCUGGGGACCCCAAAGCUGAACACCAUACUCCAGGUUUAAAUGGGAAAUAGAAGAAGAUGAGAACACUCAUGGAUCAAGACAGUUUAACAGGGAAAGUAAAAGCUCUGUGUGCAAGCAGAGCAAAAAGAGGACUUUAUUUGCUUUUCUCAUCAGCAGUUGUCCAACCACUUCCAGGGAAGCAGAACCUAAGCACAUGUUGCUUGCACAGAGAAAUAUCAUAAUCACAGACAUCUACCCUUCCUCUGCACCUCCCUGAGGAUCUAUUGCUGAGUGCUGUGGUAUAGAUCACCUGUCUUGACUCUAUCAGCUCCCAGCCUCAAGCCCAGCCCCAGCUUAUGUGAAGGAGAAAAGAAAGCAUUUGAAGGAAGGAAGUACUGUUCAGCAAUAGCCAAAACACGAGUGUGUUAUCAGCACUGUUUUGCCUACGAAUACAAAGCAAAGCCAUAUAUCUAUGCCAUGUAUCUUCAUACUACCUAUGAAGAAAUUUUUUUUUUCCUGUCAUUGGUAGUAGUUUUAUAGCACACCUUUCUGAUUUUUCUCUGCAUUUUCUCCCCAGCGGCCUCUCCAGUUCCCAUCUGAGUCUGUUUCAUUGCCAUUUCAUACCCUAUGUAUCCACUAAGUGAUCCGUGGUUAAAUAACUAAAGUUGACAGUGAUGGACUUCUGAGUUAAGACUGCACUCAGGCUUAAGCAGGACACAGUUCGCAUCGCUGAGUUUUUCUUUUUGGUUGUCUCCAUCAGUAAAACUUUAUUAAUUUCAAAGGUUUAUCUGCAGAAUGGGGACUAAGACUUCUUUUUAGUAACAAAAUGCUGGGUGCUAGAAGAUUUGAAUUUGUCAUGUGCACUUUAAGAAUUUGUGCUGGUUGCACCCUUCACAAAGACUUUAUGUUACAUCUUGUCCUUGAGGGCUUUAGCUUGCAUUCUCUAAGAUCCAAAAUGAAGUCCUAGCCUCCCACUGAGUGCACUGUGUAAGUUGUAAAAUGAAAAGUUUGUAGCCAAGCAAGUUUCAUUCUUUUUCAGAUAGGCAGGUCUUUGAAAAGUGUAAAAGUGAGCUUUGCUGCUCCAAACAUGCCCUGCUUUCGCCUGAAGAACUGACGUAAAUAAUACAUCUAAAAAUGCUCACAGUUUAUCGGCUACAACUCACAUUAAGGAGGCAACCAACACAGCACAAUAAAAUUAAAUGGCAUGGAUUUCCUUUGUGUGCUUCACUGUAUUGAGUCUUUUGUCUUUGCAUGUUAUGUUUCCUCAUUAGAAAAGACUUUUUCUGCUCUGCUAAACUAGGACAUAGGAUGCUGCCCACAUUAAGGAGAUCAAAAUUAGCAGCUAACUUUGGAAAGUUUCCAAGACCUCACUUGAGAGUCCUGGGAUUAUGAAGGAUGCUCCUGUGUGAGAUCUAUUCUCUACUGAAGUCUAGUAGGAUUAUUUUUAUAAUUUUUCCAAUUUUUCCCUUAUUAUUAAGUAGGAAAUAGUGUCUUUUCCUCCUGUCAGCAUAGAUAAUUAAAAAUGAAACCAUUUUUAACUAACAUGUUAAUAGUAGUGAGGAGUGUUAAAAAUCUGUUGAAUUUUUCAAAAAGAGGAUAUAUAUUCUGGUAUCAAACUUAAGUACAGUACUUUGCCACAAAAAUAAAUUGUAGUUCAUUUUACACCAUUUAGAACAAUGAGUCUGAAAUAACUCUUCCUGAUGUUCUUUUUUUCCUGUGUUUAUUUUGAACUGCUUGUCACAUAAAAAGAUUGUAAGCUGUGUGUUUCAGUUUUCCUUAUAUUUCUACAAAUUUCCAAACUGUUUUAUAUCUUCUUAAUGUCUGUCUUGCAGACAUCCUGUCCUAUUUUCAGGAUGUCAGCAGUGAAAUUUUUGAGAUACCUUGUCUACUGAUGAUUAUUUACUUUGUAUGUUGGCUAUCAUAGUUAGAUCCAAGUAUUCAUUAUGUCGUAUAUCUAGGUUGGGUCAAAUACAUGAAGUAUAGGGCAAUAUAUUAAUUUCAGUAAAUCCAUGUAUCUUGAGAAUUUUAAUGAAUGUAUAAUGAAUAUAUUAGUUUGUUGCACAAGAAGUUAAACUUUUUAGAUAAGGUUUAUCAGUGCUAAGCUAAAUCCAAAGGUUCAGAUUAAUUUUGGAUGUGAGAGGAUGAUCAUGUUUAAGGUGGAUUUUGUUUUUCUAGGCUAUUUUCUGAAAAAAUUUAACCCUUAAACAAAAGGUUUGCCUUCAUCUAAGGAUCACAAAUCAUACUUCAUGGUAACAUUGUCUUCGUCAAAAGAUAAGUUACUGCUAAGAUUCAAUUUUCUGUUGGUGAAUGUGUUGCACCAACAUUAGUAGUUGUAUCCUACUUUUUUAAUCCAGGCAGAGGCAUGUGAAAUAGCAGAUGUUCAGCUUGAUUUUUCUAUUACAGCUUCCUGCAAUUCCAAAGAAAAGCUUUAAACACUGAUUUUUUUUUUUCUGGGAGGGUGGAUUUUCAUAUUCAAUUUCUGAGAGGCCCUGUGAGAUACUUCUUUAGAAUAAAAAUCUGCAAUAUUAAACUGUAGCAGAGAAAAAAGAUUGAAAUCUCUAGAGGCCAUUAUUUAGAUCCCUCAAGGUUUUUAUAGGAAGGCUCAUGACAAAUGUUGCCACCCUAAAAUUUUAAACAGCCUCACCGUCUUCAUAAAUAACUUCUGGGGAAAAUGGAGUACAGUACAAUAUCCUGCUUAUACAAUACAGAAAAUUCAUGUAUUGCAUAAAAUAAAGUCUGAAUAUUUUAAUACCUGUUCAGGGAUUGUAAUUUGCUCUGCUUGAAAUUAAAUAUUUAUGGAAAUGUAUAGGAGAUUACUAAUGAUUACCAAAAGAUGCAUGAAUGCAUACAAAAUUUUUUACUUAUACUAUGAAAUAAAAAAUAAGCCAUCAUUUAUUUCUGUUCUGUUUAUUAGACAGAAAAGAUUUGGAUAACAGCAGCUUAAAUGAAGUAUCUGGAAAGAUACUGUCAGAAUACUGACAGCUGACCCUUUUGAAUACAUCCAUGUUCAGUAGUGCCAGACUGAAGCAUCGAACAGUUAAAUUUGAGGAAAAAAAGCUUUUGCACAAUUUGGUUGACUUUGGAUAUGACUGAAUAAAACACCAAGUAAAGAAUGUAGUGCUUAUUGCUGAUAGCUGCCAAUAAAGAACCAUAGUUUAUAAUAAAACUUCUGAUAAAUUUUCAAUAAAGUGUCAUAAAGAAAAAGAGUUGAGAAGAGAUUGGUUAAUCAAAUUGGGUAUCCAGAUAUUAUUUGUCAGAAAAAACAAUAUACAGAACAUUUGGACUACAUUUUAUUACUGCUCCACCUGGAUUAUAUUUUUAAAUAGCGCAGGUUCAGAUUUCAAUGUCAGUCUCCAAAGGUUGCAUGAAAAGAAUCAAAAACAGGGACUUUUUUUUCUAUUGCUGCAUGAAGACAUCUGAAACACGUGUGUAUCUUGGUGGCUUAUUGUUUUAACUUUGCAUUAAAAUGUCUACUAUAGAUGGAUUACAAACUGCAAGUUUUACUGAGUCAGAUAAUUGUGUUAUCAAAAUGGAGAAAGAAGUCUUGUUUUUCUUGUUGUUGAUGGCUCUUAGAGUCUUAACAUUAAAUAAUUUUUUACUUUUAAAAGUGUCCUUUACAACUUAGAGAAAAUCUGUAGGAAAGCAAUACAAGUUCUGUAGGAAAUUAAACAGAUUUGGACUUGUAAAUUUGUAGUAAUGCAAAAUCUGACAUAAUAUUCCUGGGUUGUUUUUUUUUAAGUAGAAACAGAUA